GAUGAACGCUAGCGGCAGGCCUAAUACAUGCAAGUCGAACGGUAAGGCCCUUUCGGGGGUACACGAGUGGCGGACGGGUGCGUAACGCGUAUGCAACAUGCCUUCCAGCGGGGGAUAUACCAGGGAAACUUGGCGCAAUACCCCAUAGAAUUACGGGACCGCAUGGUCUUGUGAUUAAAACUCCGGUGCUGGGAGAUUGGCAUGCGUGACAUUAGCUAGUUGGCGGGGGUAACGGCCCACCAAGGCGACGAUGUCUAGCUGGUCUGAGAGGAUGAUCAGCCACACUGGGACUGAGACACGGCCCAGACUCCUACGGGAGGCAGCAG
rnacentral:rRNA from 1 species